GACGAACGCUGGCGGCGUGCUUAACACAUGCAAGUCGAGCGGAAAGGCCCUUCGGGGUACUCGAGCGGCGAACGGGUGAGUAACACGUGAGUAAUCUGCCCUUGGCUUUGGGAUAAGCCCCGGAAACGGGGUCUAAUACCGGAUACGACCAAUCACUGCAAGGUGUGUUGGUGGAAAGUUUUUUCGGCCAGGGAUGUGCUCGCGGCCUAUCAGCUUGUUGGUGGGGUAAUGGCCUACCAAGGCUUCGACGGGUAGCCGGCCUGAGAGGGUGACCGGCCACACUGGGACUGAGACACGGCCCAGACUCCUACGGGAGGCAGCAGUGGGGAAUAUUGGACAAUGGGCGGAAGCCUGAUCCAGCAACGCCGCGUGAGGGAUGACGGCCUUCGGGUUGUAAACCUCUUUCAGUACCGACGAAGCGCCGAUGAUGGUGGUGACGGUAGGUACAGAAGAAGCACCGGCCAACUACGUGCCAGCAGCCGCAGUAAGAC
rnacentral:rRNA from 1 species